CCUACGGGGGACAGCAGUGGGGGAUAUUGCACAAUGGGGGGAACCCUGAUGCAGCGACGCCGCGUGGGUGAAGAAGCGCCUCGGCGCGUAAAGCCCUGUCAGCAGGGAAGAAAAUGACGGUACCUGACGAAGACGCCCCGGCUAACUACGUGCCAGCAGCCGAGGUAAUACGUAGGGGGCAAGCGUUAUCCGGAUGUACUGGGUGUAAAGGGGGCGCAGGCGGCGAUGCAAGCCAGGAGGGAAAGCCCGGGGCCCAACCCCGGGACUGCUCUUGGAACUGCGUGGCUGGAGUGCAGGAGAGGCAGGCGGAAUUCCUGGUGUAGCGGUGAAAUGCGUAGAUAUCAGGAGGAACACCGAUGGCGAAGGCGGCCUGCUGGACUGCAACUGACGUUGAGGCCCGAAAGCGUGGGGAGCAAACAGGAUUAGAUACCCUUGUAGUC
rnacentral:rRNA from 1 species